AAUCAGUUCACUGUGUGUGUGAAAGAUCUACAUUAGCUCAUUUCAGGCAAACUGUGAGAGUGAAUAUGAAACUGCAUCUUAUCCUGUUUCUAAUUGAUAUAGUUUUCCUUUCUUCUUCAUUGUGUGCAGAAAACAAUUGCCCCAGCUUUUGCACAUUAGAGUACAGGCCAAUAUGUGCAACUGAUGGGAUAAAUCCCCCUCGCCUAUUUAGUAAUCCCUGUCGCCUAAAGUCUUUCAGCUGUAUAAAUAAUGUUGAGUUGAAGGAAGUUGCAAGAAUACACUGCCAGGAUGAAUUGUAACAAAAAAUAUAUUACUGAAAUCUAUCUACCGGUUGUUAUUUCAGAAGCUUGAAAGUAUUUGUACAUAAUUUCCAAAAUUUGUUUUGUGCUUCAAUAUAAAAAAAUUACACUUCAUUAUAAAA